UACAGAGGGUGCGAGCGUUAAUCGGAAUUACUGGGCGUAAAGCGCGCGUAGGCGGCUUUGCAAGUCGGGUGUGAAAUCCCCAGGCUUAACCUGGGAACUGCAUUCGAGACUGCAUUGCUAGAGUAUGGGAGAGGGAAGUGGAAUUCCAGGUGUAGCGGUGAAAUGCGUAGAUAUCUGGAGGAACACCGGUGGCGAAGGCGACAUCCUGGACCGGUAUUGACGCUGAGGCGCGAAAGCCAGGGGAGCAAACGGG
rnacentral:rRNA from 1 species